rnacentral:rRNA from 1 species
GACGAACGCUGGCGGCGUGCUUAACACAUGCAAGUCGAACGGAAAGGCCCUGCUUUUGUGGGGUUCUCGAUUGGCGAACGGGUGAGUAACACGUGAGUAACCUUCCCUUGACUUUGGGAUAACUUCAGGAAACUGGGGCUAAUACCGGAUAGGAGCUCCUGCUGCAUGGUGGGGGUUGGAAAGUUUCGGCGGUUGGGGAUGGACUCGCGGCUUAUCAGCUUGUUGGUGGGGUAGUGGCUUACCAAGGCUUUGACGGGUAGCCGGCCUGAGAGGGUGACCGGCCACAUUGGGACUGAGAUACGGCCCAGACUCCUACGGGAGGCAGCAGUGGGGAAUAUUGCACAAUGGGCGGAAGCAUGAUGCAGCAACGCAGCGUGCGGGAUGACGGCCUUCGGGUUGUAAACCGAUUUCGCCUGUGACGAAGAGUGAGUGACGGUAAUGGGUAAAGAAGCACCGGCUAACUACGUG